rfam:Marine metagenome 1096626769455, whole genome shotgun sequence.
AUCGUUGGGCUCGGGCCUGCUCUUACAGACCUCUUCAGCCGGAAGUAGCCACCCGCGUGGCGAAGCAACGCUCC